rnacentral:sRNA from 1 species
GUCCACGUUGCGGCGGACCAGAACCAUAAGCCGAGCAAGGCAACGGCGGCGGCCGGCCAAUAUCGCGAUGUCAUCAUCACGAGGCCGGCGGC